rnacentral:rRNA from 1 species
UGACCUCAAAUCAGGUAAGAAUACCCGCUGAACU